UUCAUCAGAUGACGAAGAGAUAAAGAGGAUACUUGUCUUUCAAACGGUUGCAGCUUGUGUACAGGCUGUGGGGGAAUAUUGUCAGUCGUACCUGUUCAAACAGCCAGCGUGUCAUGGGGAUGAUGGGCGAGCGAGAUUCAUCUAUUCUAUCAUUCGGGCUAGCGAUAGAGAUUGUGUAGACCAGCUUAGGAUGGAUUGACAUACAUUCUUUGAACUAUGUAUGCUGCUACACGAGAAGACGCGGCUCCGUGAUACUCGUAAUGUUUGUCUUGAAGAACUAGUAAUUAUUUUUCUUCAUACGUUGGGGCACAAUGUUCGCAACCGGGUCAUAGGUCACAAAUUUAUCCAAUCAGGUGAGACCGUCAGCCGGCACUUUCAUCGUGUGCUAAAGGCAAUUGUAUCACUCUACCCUGAUUUAGUUAUACCAGCGAGAACAGAGACGCCAUCAGAGAUUUAAAACAAUAAAAAUUGGUCUGCCUACUUUCAGGAUUGCGUUGGCGCAAUCGACGGUACACACAUUCCAGCGCAUGUUGUGGCGGUUGAUCAGGCAAGCUUUCGUAACCGCAAAGGGGUCCUCUCCUAGAAUGUACUGGCAGCUUGUUUAUUUGAUAUGAAAUUUACAUAUGUACUAGCCGAUUGGGAGGGUUCUGCUUCGGAUGCGAGGGUAUUACACAACGUAUUGGCCCAAUCAGAUGAUCCCUUGCUUGUCCCAAACAGAAAAUAUUAUGUUGUUGAUGCUGAAUAUGCUUAUUCUCCUAGUUUUAUGGCUCCAUACUGGGGUAUUCGAUAUCAUUUACAAGAAUACCGAACCGGGAGAGCGCCUGCUAACUCAAAGGAGCUGUUUAAUUACCAACAUGCACAAUUGCGUAAUGCAAUCGAGCGUUGUUUUCGAAUUUUGAAAGGUAGAUUUCCCAUCUUAAAGAGUGCUACGCAGUACAAAUUUCAUACACAAAUCUAGAUCAUGAUAGCCUGUUGUGUCCUACACAACUACAUACGUACCGUGAACGUGUCUACACAGGACAUCGAUUUCUGUGAUAUAUUUGCUUCCGAUUUGGAAGGUAUCCCAACGCUGAACAAGGUUUCAACUACUGAUGACCAACAAUGGUUGCUUCCGGUAACUCGGGGGAGAAAAAGAUGUUUGGAAUCGACUACGAGAUGACAUAGCGGCCAGAAUGUGGGCAGAUGCGCUGCAGAAUAGUAGGAGUAAAUAGUCGAUAUUUGCUUGUUAAUAUUCCUUUCAUUAUUUGGUGAUACUAUAUUUCAAGUUUACUUGUAUUCGAUGCGACGGAUUUAUAAUCACCUAGUUACACACUGGCAGCUAUGGUGGUAACCUAUAAUGCCCGAUUGCUUUCAGAUUGUGUUAUCUAUGUUAAUAUGUAUUUCAUUUUCACGAUUAUGGUUGACAUUGGUAAACAAUCAUUCACAAUUCAUAUUCAGGUGAAAUGAUAAACUCUGUCUUUAAUGACAC